AGUCGACGCCUCCCUAGAGCCUCUGGAUGAGGGCCCAGGCUGACCAACACCUUGAUUUUGGCUUCCUGACAUCCUAAGCAGAGACCCAGUGAAGACUGCCCCAGAUGUCUAACCUACAGAACCCUGGAUAUAGGUACCAAUGAGACCCUAGAAAAGGGCAGAGCCCUGAGAUGGAAGAGCCUGGGUCCCUGAAUCACCACAUGGAGGAAAGCCACUGUCUAAUCAGGAACACUCGUCCUGGUCUGUUAAUAGAGGCUGAAGAGCUGGAGGAAGGAGAGCAUCCCUAGCUACAGUUCUUCAAAACUCUGCUUGGUAAUGUGGCACUGAGAGACUCUGAGAAGCUGGCUUCAGGAAGGUGGCCCCACCCUGCCUGCCCGCCACGCAGGAUGCCACCUGCCGCAGCAGCGUCGGUCUCUGGUCAGGACUAGGGUAAAGAUCAGCGGUGGCUCAUCUUCCCUCUGACACAGCAGCGUGGGUCACCUGGAUGGAACUGAAAUGGGGUCCCAGAUACCGCAACCCUCUCUCCCUGUCCGCUUCUGUAGUCUGGCUUGGGAUUGCUGGCCCCAGCAGAGCAGGCAGGAGAGCUCUGACUGUGGAUGGUCGUUGAGCCUAGACUAGGCCUGAGGGUCUCCACUGAAGCUCACAGAUGGAAAAGCCCAGCUGCCAGGGGUCAGAGGCCUUGGAGGUUAGAAAAUUGCAAGUCCCCAUCCUUCAAGGAGCUCCAGGAUGACUCUGCCUCAGCAAUUUCCAGUGCAAAUUUACUUUUUGUUUGUGUCAGGAAAUAACAGGCUGCAGACUCCCCAGGGGCCCAGGAAUCCAGCCACCGGCUUCUCCUGGCUUCUCUCGACCUUCCGUGAGCAAGACUCAGCCAGACGUACAGGGCGGCCCUGAGCUUAAAUUACAACCACCUGACCAUAGCUGCCCUGCAGAUGCCCAGACCCUGCUUAGAGAGGGUCCCUGUGGAGAGAGGGGCUUCUCCAGGCCUGUGGCUGGUUGCAUGCGUGGCCUGAAUUCUCCAUGCACAGGCAAGAGGCCGUCUCUACUUCCCACCCUAGGCAGCUCUUAGCACUAACCCUGAAGUGACGAUGAGCCACGGAGCCAGGGUAGAAGCUACACAGUGCAUCUCACGUGACUUCCGUGACAGCUGUUCCCAAGUUUACCAUCCCUCGGCGGUGGCUCACCACCUUCUCUCUGCCCAAAGUCCUCUCAACAACUUAAAUCUCUUCCCUCCAUUCAGCCUCAUUCCUCUCGUUUUGUCACUUAGAGCUUAGGGCUUUGCUCGCUGGUUUCUUCCAAAUCUUCCUUCUUCCAGUCUAGCUGGGUCCUCUGAUGCCUGGUUUACAAAGAUGUCUGGCCUAAUCCCUAUCUGCCAGCCCCUAUCCCUCCCAGGGGGACCAGGAAGCCUGGGUUUGACAGGUGCAGCGCACAGGUGCUGGGCGCCCACAGGGAGUGCAGGAGGCCAAGGUCUUCCCAGGACUGGCAGCUCAGAUGGCCCGGGCAGAAAUAACCUGAGCCUGCUGCCCUUUCCUUCUUGGGAGUGACUCAGCGAGAAGCCGGAAGACAGAAACACAAAUGCAGUCCUGGAUCUUGCAGAGCCAAUCAUAAGGCUGUGUACGGAGAGGACCUGGAGCCAGCCAUAGGGCUGGACGCUGAAAAGACGCUCAACCUCACUUAGCAGGAGAAAAGUGCCAAUGAAAACUAUACCCAGGCCCCAUUUUCCACCGAGCAGAUUGGCGGAAAUGCAAGCUUUUGGGACACACUCGCUUGGCAAGAAGGCGAAGCCACUACCCCGCUUUGCUAGCAGGUUGUAAAAUGAUACAGUCUCCUCGGAAGACAAGUUGGCAAUAUCUAUCUACUAAAUGCAUACAUUCUUUGACCCAGCAAUUCUACUUGUAGAAAUGGAACACCCAGCUAUGCGUGCACAUUUAUGACAUGACCCAGGCAGCAUUAUUUGUAAUAAUGACAAAGAAUUGGAGGUCCCUACAUAGGUGACUGGUUCCACACUUGCAGUGUUCCCAUGCAAUGGGUCACAGUAGGCAGAAGAGAUAACUGGAACCAUUGAUGGACGAAUAUGGAACCGUGUCCUAGAUACAUUGGAAAGAGGAAAAACAAAACGAAAGAAAUCAAGGAGCAGAACAGGCUGUGGGGCUGGCUGGUAUCAACUCUUGAUGAAUGGACGAAAUGGCACGUUCUCGUUUGGGUAAAGGAGGGUAACAGAGAAGCAAUGUCUAUGCCAGUCUAAUGUGUGUGCUAAGGAAUAUCUCUGGAUGGAUACCCCAAAAUUGGUUUCAUUGGCUUUACAGAGGCAAGCAUAUACCUUUUUGUAACUUGAGCAUUUUGAAAUAUGUUAGCUGGGCCAGGUGGCACAUGCCUGUAGUCCCAGCUACUUGGAAGGCUGAGGCGGAAGAAUCACUUGAGGCCUGGAGUUCAAGGCUGCAGUGAGUCAU